rnacentral:rRNA from 1 species
GGUUGACCUCGGAUCAGGUAGGAAUACCCGCUGAACUUAAGCAUAUCAAUAAGCGGAGGAAAAGAAACCAACAGGGAUUGCCCUAGUAACGGCGAGUGAAGCGGCAACAGCUCAAAUUUGAAAUCUGGCCCUUGUGGUCCGAGUUGUAAUUUGUAGAGGAUGCUUUUGGUUAGGUGCCUUCCGAGUUCCCUGGAACGGGACGCCAUAGAGGGUGAGAGCCCCGUCUGGUUGGACACCGAGCCUCUGUAAAGCUCCUUCGACGAGUCGAGUAGUUUGGGAAUGCUGCUCUAAAUGGGAGGUAUAUGUCUUCUAAAGCUAAAUAUUGGCCAGAGACCGAUAGCGCACAAGUAGAGUGAUCGAAAGAUGAAAAGCACUUUGAAAAGAGGGUUAAAAAGUACGUGAAAUUGUUGAAAGGGAAGCGCUUGUGACCAGACUUGGGCCCGGUCAAUCAUCCAGGGUUCUCCCUGGUGCACUUUUCCGGCUCAGGCCAGCAUCAGUUUGUCGCGGGGGAUAAAGACGUUGGGAAUGUGGCUCCUCCGGGAGUGUUAUAGCCCUUCGUGUAAUACCCUGCUUCGGACUGAGGUUCGCGCAUCUGCAAGGAUGCUGGCGUAAUGGUCAUCAGCGACCCGUCUUGAAACACGGACCAAGGAGUCGUCUUCGUAUGCGAGUGUUCGGGUAUCAAACCCCUACGCGUAAUGAAAGUGAACGCAGGUGAGAGCUUCGGCGCAUCAUCGACCGAUCCUGAUGUUCUCGGAUGGAUUUGAGUAAGAGCAUACGGGGCCGGACCCGAAAGAAGGUGAACUAUGCCUGUAUAGGGUGAAGCCAGAGGAAACUCUGGUGGAGGCUCGCAGCGGUUCUGACGUGCAAAUCGAUCGUCAAAUAUGGGCAUGGGGGCGAAAGACUAAUCGAACCU